rnacentral:tRNA from 1 species
AAUCAUAUAGCUAAAUUUUAGCACUAAGUUUCGGCCUUAGAGGUGAAUUAUAUUCUAUGAUUA